rnacentral:tRNA from 1 species
GAGGUGUUAGUAUAGUAACUACAUAGCCUUGUCAAGGCUAAACCACAGGUGAAAAUCCCGUACACCUCA